CGUGUUUUAAAAUUCAAUGAAGAAGUGUAAAUGUGGUCAAUAAGUCAUAGGAAUAAAAAUUAUCGAAUAAAGACAUCAUUCAAAUUAAGGGGUGACACGAAUGUCAGAUGGGGGAUUUUGGUUUUAAUUAUCAACUACAAAUAACAGUCACAAACAAUACGAAUUAAUAAUAUAGAGACGGAUUCUUAGGAUGUGAUCGAUUAUAGAAUAAUAUAGACAUAUGGUAAUUUCAAC
rnacentral:lncRNA from 1 species